UGCUCGUUGCCAUCCCUCCCUUGUUUCCCCUCCUCCUCCAGACCUUCUCUCCUUCAAAGUGAACGAGCCGAAGUCCGCUAUUCCUCUGUAGACAUCAAGUGCUAAUCUCGUUUUCAUCCCCAAAUUUCUUCUGCCAGAGCCAAGGCCGGCUGUGCAGCCGUUUCGCCGUCGUCGACCUUUUUCCGCCGCACCAUAGCACCAGCAGGACCACCUCUCACUGAUCGCGUUGAAGAUCCCACCGGACUCGCAGGAACUGAAGUGGACCUAGAAGGCUACGUUGAAGCUCCCGAAGGCCACAUUUCACGAGGCAAGCCAUAGUUCCAAUCUUUGAUCAUAUUGAAACCUUGUAGAGAACCACUUAGUUAUUUUCUGCAUUGAGUAUUUAUAAAAUUAUUUUGCAUAUGAAUUAUUUUUGAAUAAACUUGUUAGUUUAGUUAUUACCCAUUAUUACAUUGUUAUUAUUGGCCAAAUCCAUGAAUUGCUAUAUCACGUCCUUUGAUAACCUAGGUGUAGAUUUAUAUACUUCACAAUAAUAUUCUAGUGGAUAAGACUACCAAAUAUCUAUACUCAUAUACAUGGUUUACCCGUCGUCACGUGGUGGCGUGUCGGGUGAUAUAAAAUGUGUUAUUUGAUAUGAGUCACUCGCCUGGAGUGAUAUGGAAGAUUAAUUCCGGGUGAAGAUGGAUGUUGUGGUGUGUGAGGCCGUGCAUAUUGUUAUAAUUAUUUUGUGGAAAGUGUAUAUUUACACUUGAAGUAUGCACGGGCCUGUGCUAGUUUUGGUGGCUUUCCCGGAUAUAAGGACUACCCCCUUAUGCCAUGGAAAAUGAUGUAAUUUGCGCCUAUCCAUAGGACUGAGUAAUCAGACUUAGCCUAGUACAUUGUCCCACUAUAUGAAAGACUGUAGGGUGGCUCUAUGAGCAGGUUUGGGGUGGACAUGUGGAAGGGGCUUUGGCCAGGUUGACAUGAUCCACAACGGUGGAACCCGUGAAAGCAGCGACCGUCUAGCCUUGCUUAGGCCUAGCAAGUGCCCGACUGCUAGGACGGAUCAAUAUCCCACUGGGCAGUAACUAGUAGUAAGUGGGAUUCUCAAACGGCUAUGUUGUCCUCAGCCUAGCUAGCUGUUGACAUCAGGUGGGUAAAGCUGGGCAGUCUCUACAGAGAUGAGUCUUAAAUCAUUCGAAUGUGCCGUGCUUCCGGUUAAGAAGCUAUGUCAUUGGGUGAUUCCUAUUUAUCAUGGUAUGAGUAGAUUUUAAAUUAAAAUAUGGAAUAUGACGAAGAUGAGGAUGAAUGGUGAUUAAUAUUGCUACCAUUUUAAAAUGAUGAUUUAUAAUUGUUUGCGAAUAAAAUGUUUGAUAAAGUAGGGAAAAACUAUUUAUAAUAGGCUUGUUAUGGAACCUCCUUGAUGAACUAUAUUCUUUGUACGCCUUGCAUAUAUUCUAUUUGUAUUAUUAUGGAUGUGGCUUGUUGGGUACCUCGUUACUCACCUCUUGCAUAAAAUGUGGUUCAGACGAUCAGUUCUUCCCUGAGGAGGCGCAGGAAGGGGAAGAAUUCUAUGGUGCUGUCGAGUUUUUGUUCUAGGUUGAUCUGCUCUCAGGCGUUGCCUGUGGUGUUUUUAUCCUAUUUUGUGUUUGAGUCUUUUGUUUGUAGGGAGUGUGUUUGGCCUGUCGGCCCCUAAAACCUGUCUUAGUUAUCUUUUAUGUAAUAAUUUCUGUAAAAACUUGGGUAUAUGUAUCGAAAGCUGUUCUGUAUAUCAAUCUGUGUGCGAUCGAAA